rnacentral:rRNA from 1 species
CCCGCUGAACUUAAGCAUAUCAAUAAGCGGAGGAAAAGAAACCAACAGGGAUUACCCUAGUAACGGCGAGUGAAGCGGUAAUAGCUCAAAUUUGAAAUCUGACCUUUACGGGUUCGAGUUGUAAUUUGUAGAGGAUGUUUCGGGCAAGACUUUGGUUUAAGUUUCUUGGAACAGAACGUCAUAGAGGGUGAGAAUCCCGUCUAGAACCGAUAGUCGAGUCCAUGUGAAACUCCUUCGACGAGUCGAGUUGUUUGGGAAUGCAGCUCAAAAUGGGUGGUAAAUUUCAUCUAAAGCUAAAUAUUGGCCAGAGACCGAUAGCGCACAAGUAGAGUGAUCGAAAGAUGAAAAGCACUUUGGAAAGAGAGUUAAACAGUACGUGAAAUUGUUGAAAGGGAAGCGCUUGCAACCAGACUUGCACGUGAUCGAUCAUCCGAGGUUCUCCUCGGUGCACUCGAUCUCGUUCAGGCCAGCAUCGGUUCUGGUGGUGGGAUAAAGGCCUUGGGAAUGUAGCUUCUUUCGGGGAGUGUUAUAGCCCUCGGUGCAAUGUAGCCUACUGGGAUCGAGGACCGCGCUCUGGCUAGGAUGCUGGCGUAAUGGUUGUAAGCGGCCCGUCUUGAAACACGG